rnacentral:lncRNA from 1 species
AUAUAUGAUGCAUACUAAAGCUUUAAGCUAAUUGUGAAUGAAUGUAUGGAUUAUGUAAGAUUUUUAAGUCCAAUAGGAAUUGGAUGUGGAAGCCCAAGUGUUUGUUAAUCAAAAGUCCAAACUAAAGUAAUGCAAGCCCAAAAUGAAUAAGCUAAGUUAGUUAACUUAAGCCAAAUGUAAUGAUCCAAUGGGUAAAGCAUGAUCCAUGGAGCAAACCAUUUUGAUGUGGGUUAAACUUGGUGACAAAGAACUUUUAG